AUCAAAUUAAUACAUUUUAAAAGUGAAUACAUUAAAAAAAAGAAUAUCAAUAAAUCAAACUAUGAAACUGUGACUAAAUGCAAGCACAUAAUCAUCUUAGUUUGUCCAGGCUGCAAGCUGUCGAUAAUAAGAUGAGGAAAAACAUGAAUAGUGUUAUAUUCUUAGACAACAAUAUUCGCUUAAAAUACUUGGCUGGAAACUGUACAUGAGCAACCAUAAAGAUGAGUCUUUGCUAAAAUCUUGUGUAUUUCAGAUCUAAUCAGUCAAUUAUCAGAUAUUUGUCAUUUGCAAAAAAGCUUGGUCAGUCAGGUGGGCCAUGGUUAAAGAGAAAGGGGAAAAAACGGUGCUAUUUUUUAAUGAGCAGCAUGGGGGGAGGAGUCUGGGUGAGAGAGAGUAAUGUGAAAUGGUGAAUGGAACUAAGCAAACCUAUUUCACAACCCAGGUCAAGCCUGCCAAAUAGGGCAAAGCGUCAGAGAAUCAAUAAUUAAGCUAAUAUCAAUAUUUAGCAACGAAGAUCAUUUACUAAACAAAAAAAAAGAAAAAAAAAAAGAAACUGAUUUUAACAGAUUUUCCUAUACUAAUGCAGUUUUUGAAGGAAAGUCAUGCUUGGACAAACUCGAAUGCGUUUUGGAUAAGUGCUUCAAGAGGGAUGAUGGAUUUGAAAGGGUUGAACAUGCAUUAACAGAGGACUGACACAGCUGGGUCUUUAUGGCGUGAAUGGGUCUUAAAUGCGUUAUUCUGCAUAAUAAACCACUCCACCACCAAAGCUUUGCAACGCAUCAGAACAAGUGUCUAUCAGAAAAGACCUGCUAACCAGCACAAGAAAACUGGCCCAAAACAACAUUUAAUGGAGCAGAGGAACCCACAAGUGACCUCACACAUACAGAGAGGCUCUAAAGGAACAGGAGGAAACAAAACUGUUCAAUAGAGCACCUCUUAUUUAUACACAUGAGGUGUUAAAAAGCAUUACAGAACAAAAUGAC